rnacentral:rRNA from 1 species
GUAGACAACUUGCCCGAAGAUCUGGGAUAACACCGAGAAAUUGGUGCUAAUACCGGAUAAUAUCUUUGUGACCCUGGUCAUAAAGAUCAAAGGUGGCUUCGGCUACCGUCUUCGGAUGGGUCUGCGUCUGAUUAGCUAGUUGGUAGGGUAAUGGCCUACCAAGGCUACGAUCAGUAGCUGGUCUGAGAGGAUGAUCAGCCACACUGGGACUGAGAUACGGCCCAGACUCC